UCCGGGGUAGCUCAAUUGGCAGAGCAGCGGACUGUUAAUCCGUUGGUUGUGAGUUCGAGUCUCACCCCCGGAG
rnacentral:tRNA from 1 species